CAGGACGAAGGCGUCGGGGGUAUAAACUGCUUUUGUACGGAACGAAAAUGCCUUUGUUAAUACCACGGGUAAAUGACGGUACCGUAAGAAUAAGCACCGGCUAACUACGUGCCAGCAGCCGCGGUAAUACGUAGGGUGCAAGCGUUAAUCGGAAUUACUGGGCGUAAAGCGUGCGCAGGCGGUCUUGUAAGACAGGUGUGAAAUCCCCGGGCUUAACCUGGGAACUGCACUUGUGACUGCAAGGCUUGAGUGCGGCAGAGGGAGAUGGAAUUCCGCGUGUAGCAGUGAAAUGCGUAGAUAUGCGGAGGAACACCGAUGGCGAAGGCAGUCUCCUGGGCCUGCACUGACGCUCAUGCACGAAAGCGUGGGGAGCAAGCAGGAUUAGAUACCCUGGUAGUCCACGCCCUAAACGAUGUCAACUGGUUGUCGGGUCUUAGCUGACUCAGUAACGAAGCUAACGCGUGAAGUAGACCGCCUGGGGAGUACGGCCGAAAGGUUGAAACUCAAAGGAAUUGACGGGGACCCAUACAAGCGGUGGAUGAUGUGGUUAAAUUCGAUGAAACGCGAAAAACCUUAA
rnacentral:rRNA from 1 species